UCCCUCUUAGCUCAGUGGUAGAGCGCGUCACUAGUAAUGACGAGGUCAGUCGUUCAAGUCGGCUAGGGGGAA
rfam:Serendipita vermifera MAFF 305830 unplaced genomic scaffold scaffold_1, whole genome shotgun sequence.